GACGAACGCUGGCGGCGUGCUUAACACAUGCAAGUCGAACGGAAAGGCCCUGCUUUUGUGGGGUGCUCGAGUGGCGAACGGGUGAGUAACACGUGAGUAACCUGCCCUUGACUUUGGGUUAACUUCAGGAAACUGGGGCUAAUACCGGAUAGGAGCUCCUGCUGCAUGGUGGGGGUUGGAAAGUUUCGGCGGUUGGGGAUGGACUCGCGGCUUACCAGCUUGUUGGUGGGGUAGUGGCUUACCAAGGCUUUGACGGGUAGCCGGCCUGAGAGGGUGACCGGCCACAUAGGGACUGAGAGACGGCCCAGACUGCUACGGGAGGCAGGAGUGGGGAAUAUAGCACAAUGAGCGGAAGCCUGAUGCAGCAACGCCGCGUGCGGGAUGACGGCCUUCGGGUUGUAAACCGCUUUCGCCUGUGACGAAACGUGAGUGACGGUAAUGGGGAAAGAAGCACCGGCUAAUUACGU
rnacentral:rRNA from 1 species